UGUUGCCCAAUCUUACUAAUAUACCCUUCCUUCAAAUAUUUUUUACACUAACAAAAGGCUAUCUAAGUAAUUAACAAAAUAAAUAUUGCUCAAUGCCAUUUGUGUGCUUCUCAUUGGUCACUUCUAAAAAAUUUUGUACUUCCAUUUCACUUUUGAGCACAUUUCGUUUCCCUGAUACCCACUCCUCUGCAAAACAAGCUUCAUCGUUUGUACUAUGUCAAACAAGCCAACACUUGUCACUUUAUCAUUGGCCACAUUGCUCAUUUGAAAAUUAUCCCUCUCUUCUUCCUCUUCAAUUUCGUUCUCUCUCUCUCUCUCAUCUUCUCUUUUCCCUGAAACCCUAGAAUCACAAAAAAAUACCCCUAAACUCCUCUCUAUUCUGAUUCAGAUCUAGAAACAUGGAAGAAGGAUAUCAUUCCUCUCGCAGUCGCCACCAUCGUGUAUUCAGUCAUCGUCUCAUCGUGCCACCACCAAUGGUUUUUCCGUCGUCAUCUCUUCUCGCCACCACCACUGUUUUUGGCGCCGUUAUCUCUUCUCGCCACCACCAUUGUUUUUGUCCCUGGUUUUUGAAAAACCCUCUCUCUCUACGCUAUGCAGGUCUUCUUUAAUCAAAGGGUUUUUUCAUUCUUCAGCAUGUUUUUGUUUGUUGGUUUUACUAGAUCCAUGUUUCACUGAGUUUAAUUUAUUAUUUCCCCUCUCUCACAUUUUAUUGCAAUUUGUUUUGAAAAUAUUUAGGGUUUUCAAAAAUCUUAUGGAAAUGAAGUAGGUGCACAAUUGAAGAGAUAUACCAUGGAUUAGAGAUCGAAGAGAUAAAGAGUUCACUGUUGAAUGGAAGGUUUUGUCUUAGUUCCUCUCUCAGUACAAGCUCACGGGUAGAAAAUAUGGAUGAUGGUCUCUUAGCUUUAACUUGAUCUGGUUCUUUUUAUAUUAACUUCACCUUUCUUCUUCUAACAUAUGGUUUUCUCUCUUUAUAAACCUGUUAUAUUUUAUCAACUUUAGCUUUCUAUCUCGCAGCAAAACCUCAACCAUUCUCAAGGAACUGGAGGUUCUAUGGAACUAAAGUGCCCACAAAAUCAGAAUCUGGUUCGGAUAUUUUCAGCAAGCGGGAAGUUAUACAGAAACUGCGGCAAUAAUUGAAGAGAAGAGACGAUAUGAUGCUAGAAAUGCAAGAUCAAAUGGCUGAAUUGCAAAAUUCACUCUAUGCCCAGCUGGGGCUUUCUUCUCAUUUAAAAUCGUAGGUUGAAGCUGCAAACAAGGACCUAUUUGAUUCUGAGAGAUCCAACAGCUAAGGAAAGCAAUUGCAGAUCACUAAGUUGGAUAUGUUCCUCAUGACAAAUCUCCCACAGGCACAACUUGGUUUGUGCAUUGUGGUGAACCUGAAUACUUUUCAUUUACAGUGUCUUCCCUCAUGUUUAAUCCCUAAAGUAUAUACAUAUAAUAAAUAGUCUCCUAAAUAUAUGAAAUUGGUGAUGUUAAUCUCUUGCAUCUUAAUAGUAUGGAAGACAUAUUAUCAUUUUCAAAGUAGUUAAAUUAACAGAUCCUGGAAGACAUAUAUCAAUUUGGAUUGAUUCUACUUGAACUUAUCAUUUUCAAAGUGGUUACAUCUUCUAUGGAAGUUGAGGUGCUGAUGUAUGAGCUUGAGAGAGGUUUAUGUGAAGUUGCAUCACCGACGCGCUGAGGAGUGCUAUUGAUCCUUCGCUCCAUGGAACUUAUGCACAUGAAUCAUUGAAGAUUGCAGUUCUGAUCAUCAUCAACUGUCUCAGCAAGGUUUCCGGUGAUCGACCUUCUAUAGAAGAUAUUCUCUGGAAUCUGCAGUACUCCAUGCCAGUUCAAGAAGGAAGGUCCAGCAAAGCCUCAACAUGAAUAUGUUGAUCAUUCUGUGGCAGAGAGUUUUGGUGGAGAAAAAAGAGCAUCCAUUACACCUAGAAUUUAUCCCAGAUGAGAGUUUUUUGUUCUUUUGAAGCUAUAACAUGUUUUGAAGCCUAUUUUAUGCUAUAAUGUUUAGGUAGACAAAUUUCAGUGUGCAGGCUUAUGAAUUAACUGUAGUAAAUAUACAUUGCAGAAUCUAAUCAAAGAAUAUA